rnacentral:misc_RNA from 1 species
GAGUGAAGACGCUCCCACAGAACGACGUCGGCCGUUUAGUUGGGCGUCGAGUCAACAGAUGGCGCUGGUGGACGACCGGGGGCUCACAUUUUUUCAAAUGCGUUAGAUAGCAAGUUUCCUCUCUUUCGUGAAUAGUCUUCGAUGUAAACAAACCCAAUACGAUCUCGUAAAUCCGACCCAUGGCGUUUUAGUAUUAAUAAGUGACACUCUUUCUAGCUACUGUCUUCAUGGCUACUGUGAAAAAAGUCAAGCUUGAUGUCCGACCAUUUCAGUCAUCAUGGACAAAUGACUUUGGGUUUAUUCAGCAGAAUGGUCGCGCCGUGUGUGCUCUCUGCCGUGAGGAUGUCGUGUGCCGCACAUCGAGUGUUAAAAGACACUUCGAAACAAAACACGGCAAGACCUUCAAGGAUAGUGCAGACAAGGCAGAAGCUAUUCAGAAAGCAGUAUCUCGCUAUGAGAAGCAAAGUAAUGCAUUUGAAAACCAGGGGACUAGCAAAAAUAAAGCAACAGGGGGGCAAAGUAAUGCUUUUGAAAACCAGAUGACUAGCAAAAACAAGGCAACAGAGGCGCAAAGUACUGCAUUUGAAAACCAGAGGACUAGCAAAAACAAUGCAACAGAGGCCAGCUACAAGCUGGCUCUGUGUAUCGCUAAGCACGGUAAGCCUUUCACUGAUGGAAGUUUUAUAAAAGCAGCUUUCCUAGAGUGCUCUGAGGUGUUAUUUGAUGGCAUGUCAGACAAACACAUGAUCAUCUCAAGGAUAAAAGACAUGCCUGUCUCAGCUAGGACCUUGGAGAGACGUAUUUCUGAAAUGGCUGAUAAUGUAAAUGCGCAGCAAACUGCUGCUUUAACCACUACACCUGUGUUCAGUGUUGCCCUGGUUGAAAGCGUGGAUAUAAAUGACAUUCCCCGGUUGGCUGUAUUUGCCAGGUAUAGUGACACAGAGAUGCAUGAGGAGCUCUGCUGUCUGAAACCUGUGUGUGGCACUACCAAGGUAGAAGACAUACUGAAGACUUUCACUGAGCAUUUUGAGGACAGAGGGCUUGACAUAAGAAAGAUUUUUGCUGUUACAACGGAUGGUGCCUCUGCUGCUGUAGGAAACAAGGGUUUUACUAAGAUGGUUGAGGAUAAAAUUGGCCACCCCAUUCUGAAAUUGCACUGUAUACGUCAUCAAGAAAAUUUAUGUGCCAAGAUCUCAGGCUGUGAUCUCAGCAAGGUGAUGACUACUGUUACAAAAGUAGUGAAUUUUCUUCUUGCAAACUCUUCUCUUACAGACAGACAGUUUCAAGCUUUCCUUGAAGAGGUGGACAGUGCUUACAAAGAUACACCCUUGCAUAGCAGUGUUAGGUGGCUAAGCUGUGGGAAGGUAUUGGAGAGAUUUGUGGAAUGUUUUGAUGAAAUCAAGAUUUUCCUAUCAGAAAAAGACCAAGACUAUCCUGAGCUGGAGGACAGAGAUUGGAUUGUGAAACUUGUGUUUCUCUCAGACAUCACCAAACAUCUAAAUGACUUCAAUCUUCUCUUGCAAGGUGCAGGAAAAACAGUGAUAGAUUUGUAUGAUACUUGGAAGGCAAUUGUUGCAAAGCUUACAAUUUACUCAACAGAUAUCAAAACUGGUUCUUUCCAUUAUUUCAAAAACUUGAAGAACUUAUCUGCAAUUCAUCCUGUCAACACGACUGAUCUUCAGGUGUAUAUGAAACAAUUAAAGUCUGAAUUCUCAGACAGAUUUCAAGAUUUCCAACACAUGGGUCCAGUGUUUUCAUUUUUAAUCAGACCAGACACCUUCAAAUAUGGUGAGUUGGACAUACCUCUCUUUGAGUGGAUGGAAAUUGACGAGUUGGAAAUGCAGUUAAUUGACUUUCAGGCCUCAUCACUGUGGUCAGCUAAAUUUAAAGAUCUUCGAGAAAUACUGGAAACUAGUCGGAAUAAUCAUGCAGCCUCCAUUUUAAGUUCCUGGACAUCACUGCCUGAUAAAUUUAAUUGCAUGAAGAAAGUAGCUUUUGCACUGCUAUCAGCAUUUGGAUCCACGUAUCAAUGUGAGCAGAUAUUUUCACACAUGAAGCAUACCCUCAACCCCCAUCGCAGCAGGCUUACAGUGGAUCAUUCUGAGGGUUGUGUGAAGCUCGUAUCCAGAUAUUCACCUGAAAUAAAAAAUUUGGCCAAAGGAAAGCAAGGGCAAGGAUCGCAUUAACAUGGUAUGAUGAAUCUGACAGGACACAAUAGUAUUUCAGACAGUCACAUUACUUCGUAUACGAGAGUCUUGAAAUAUGCACAACCAGAGAGUGUCUUGAUCACAGUUAGGAGCAGGCCAGAAGAUGUUCCCCUGCAAGAGGCUUUCAUGAAUCUUCAAGAGUCCUGGGAGGUAAAGGUGUGUCUUGAAGAAGACUUUACGAAUCCUACAAGCAUAAAUAGUGACGUUGAUAAAUCUCUACAGGAAAUGUUUCAGAGGGUUGCAUAUCAAGAGGAGAGUAGCUUUGACGAUGAUGAGACCACUACCAGCAGUGCAGAAUUUGAACCUGACACUCAACUGCACAAAUGAAACAGAAGUUGAUUGGGCGUGUGAGGCCGUCCAAUCACUACAGCCUGUUGACAAC